AUAGCUUUGAUAUUACAUGGUUCAGUUGGUUUAUGUUAUUCGAAUUCAUGUGGUUUUGAAUGAACUAUAGAACUCGUGGAUUUUGUAAAAAGGGAAAAUGAUUUUCUACCCCUCGUGGUAGCGUUUUUAAAAGAUAAAAGUUUCCGAGUAGGGAACAGUUUUCCAAAUUUUUUCAGUGGAUUUAUGUUUAGACUUUGAAUGUAAAUCUGUGAUGUGAAUGGUGAAUGUAUGAAUGUAUAGUUAUCUCUAUAUUCAUGUAGUUGUGGUUGUAUUCGAUUUACUUAUUGUACUUGUGCGACGCCGUGCACAUACAGGGGAGACUGUCCGUGUGAACAGUGAAUUUUCUGUAUUUGUGGCGGAUCUGGCAUACCCUGGGGUCAGAUUUAAAAAAAAAAAAAAAAAAAAAAUUAGGCGCUUUUUCGCUGUGUUUCAAACUAAAAGGGACCCCGGGGUGUGACACAAUUGGUUCAAGGAUACAGAAAUAUAUGUUAAGAAUGACUAGGUUCUGCUAGCGCUAUAUCUAAAUCUGCUUUCAGCAGCAUUAACAACUAGUAGAGCAUUUGGCAAAUAGAAAAGUUAUUGAAGUAGCAUAUGCAAUUAGUUCUCAGAAAGAAAAAGUAAGAAAGAAAUAUAUCUGUUAUAAGUAGUGCUUGACCUUAUUAUCACUGUCCAUUGAUCAACCUCAAAUUUAACAUUCUACAGCUACAACAAAUAAAACAAUCCAAUCAUCUAUUCACUAAAUGAAUGAGAAAAU
rnacentral:lncRNA from 1 species